GAUGAACGCUAGCUACAGGCUUAACACAUGCAAGUCGCGGGGCAGCAUGUCGGUUGCUUGCAACCGAUGAUGGCGACCGGCGCACGGGUGAGUAACGCGUAUCCAACCUGCCCUUCACCACGGAAUAAUCCAGUGAAAAUUGGUCUAAUACCGUAUGAGGUCAUACGAUGGCAUCAGAAUAUGACGAAAGAUUUAUCGCAGUAGGAUAGGCAUGCGUAAGAUUAGUUAGUUGGUAAGGUAACGGCUUACCAAGACGAUGAUCUUUAGGGGGCCUGAGAGGGUGAUCCCCCACACUGGUACUGAGACACGGACCAGACUCCUACGGGAGGCAGCAGUGAGGAAUAUUGGACAAUGGGUGGAAGCCUGAUCCAGCCAUCCCGCGUGUAGGAUGACGGCCUUAUGGGUUGUAAACUACUUUUAUCUGGGGAUAAACCUAUCUGCGUGUAGAUAGCUGAAGGUACCAGGAGAAUAAGCACCGGCUAACUCCGUGCCAGCCGCCGCCGUAA
rnacentral:rRNA from 1 species